UACGUAGGGGGCGAGCGUUGUCCGGAAUCAUUGGGCGUAAAGCGCGUGUAGGCGGCCCGGUAAGUCCGCUGUGAAAGUCCAGGGCUCAACCCUGGGAUGCCGGUGGAUACUGUCGGGCUCGAGUCCGGAAGAGGCGAGUGGAAUUCCUGGUGUAGUGGUGAAAUGCGCAGAUAUCAGGAGGAACACCAAUGGCGAAGGCAGCUCGCUGGGACGUGACUGACGCUGAGACGCGAAAGCGUGGGGAGCGAACAGG
rnacentral:rRNA from 1 species